AAAGCGUGCGCAGGCGGUUAUAUAAGUCAGAUGUGAAAUCCCCGGGCUCAACCUGGGAACUGCAUUUGAGACUGUAUGGCUAGAGUGUGUCAGAGGGGGGUAGAAUUCCACGUGUAGCAGUGAAAUGCGUAGAUAUGUGGAGGAAUACCGAUGGCGAAGGCAGCCCCCUGGGAUAACACUGACGCUCAUGCACGAAAGCGUGGGGAGCAAACAGGAUUAGAUACCCCAGU
rnacentral:rRNA from 1 species